GACGAAGCGUGCGAACGUUGUUCGGAAUCACUGGGCUUAAAGGGCGCGUAGGCGGGCUGGUAAGUCAGGGGUGAAAGCCCACGGCCCAACCGUGGAAGUGCCUUUGAUACUGCCAGUCUCGAGGGAGGUAGGGGCGUGCGGAACUUCCGGUGGAGCGGUGAAAUGCGUAGAUAUCGGAAGGAACACCGGUGGCGAAAGCGGCGCGCUGGACCUCUUCUGACGCUGAGGCGCGAAAGCCAGGGGAGCAAACGGG
rnacentral:rRNA from 1 species